rnacentral:tRNA from 1 species
GGCGCUAUCGUCUAGCCCGGCCCAGGACAUCACCCUCUCACGGUGGAGACACGGGUUCAAAUCCCGUUAGCGCUA